CGCUUAUGAGAUAUGCUUCGCAGAAUUUGUGGGUUUGUACCCGUAGGGGUAUUAGUCCAACUAAUAGGCGAGAUAAAAAAUUACUACGUCUAGAGUGUGAACCAACUCCGCCACUAACUUUGAGGAGCUACGUUACCGUAGGCUCCCAACACUAAGCAACUAAGGCUUAAGGGUUGAAAUGACGCUCGAACGGUCCUGCCCACUAGAAUACUAAUGGGCGCAAUAUGCGUUCAAAGAUUCGAUGAUUCACUGAAUUCUGCAAUUCACAUUACUUAUCGCAUUUCGCUGCGUUCUUCAUCGAUGCCAGAACCAAGAGAUCCGUUGUUGAAAGUUUUAACUUAUUUAGUUAUAGGUUCAGAAUUCAAUAUCAAACAGAGUUUGGUGGGCCGCCGGCAGGCUUACCCGCACCUCCCGGGUAAGUCUUACAGGGUAAGACUACGAGGUAGGCGCGACCUGCCGAGGCAACGUUAGGUAUGUUCACAUGGGUUUGGGAGUUAUAGAACUCUUUAAUGAUCCCUCCGCAGGUUCACCUACGGAGGGA
rnacentral:rRNA from 1 species